rnacentral:tRNA from 1 species
GAUAAAAUGGCUGAGGCUAAGCGAUAAAUUGUAAAUUUAUUUACGGAUUUAAAUCCUUUUGUCA